GUCCACGCCCUAAACGAUGUCUACUAGUUGUUGGUGGAGUAAAUCCAUGAGUAACGCAGCUAACGCGUGAAGUAGACCGCCUGGGGAGUACGGUCGCAAGAUUAAAACUCAAAUGAAUUGACGGGGCCCGCACAAGCGGUGGAUUAUGUGGAUUAAUUCGAUGCAACGCGAAAACCUUAACCUGGCCUUGACAUGUACGGAACUUUCCAGAGAUGGAUUGGUGCUCGAAAGAGAACCGUAACACAGGUGCUGCAUGGCUGUCGU
rnacentral:rRNA from 1 species